CUUGUAGCGCUGUUUCCAACAUAUAUUCAUCAUAGCCUCUUUGAAGAAAUUUGUUCAAAGAGGCUAUGAUGAAUAUAUGUUGGAAACAGCGCUACAAGAAG